rnacentral:tRNA from 1 species
GCGGGGAUAGCUCAGUUGGGAGAGCGUCAGACUGAAGUCUCAACUUCGGUUUCUGUCAUCUGAAGGUCGUGUGUUCGAUCCACACUCACCGCA